CGAUUCUGGCUCAGGAUGAACGCUAGCGGCAGGCUUAACACAUGCAAGUCGAGGGGCAUCGGGAGUAGCAAUACUGCCGGCGACCGGCGCAAGGGUGCGUAACGCGUGAGCAACAUGCCCGUAUCAGGGGGAUAAUCCAUGGAAACGUGGUCUAAUACCCCAUAGUAAUUAUGUAAGGCAUCUUAUAUAAUUUAAAGCUUUGGUGGAUACGGAUUGGCUCGCGUGACAUUAGCUAGAUGGUAAGGUAACGGCUUACCAUGGCUACGAUGUCUAGGGGUUCUGAGAGGAAGGUCCCCCACACUGGAACUGAGACACGGUCCAGACUCCUACGGGAGGCAGCAGUGAGGAAUAUUGGACAAUGGAUGGAAAUCUGAUCCAGCCAUGCCGCGUGCAGGAAGACGGCCCUAUGGGUUGUAAACUGCUUUUGUAUGGGAGCAAUAAGGGCUACGCGUAGUCCGAUGAGAGUACCAUACGAAUAAGCACCGGCUAACUCCGUGCCAGCCGCCGC
rnacentral:rRNA from 1 species